GAUGAACGCUGGCGGCGUGCUUAACACAUGCAAGUCGAACGGUGAAGGCGGAGCUUGCUCUGCUGGAUCAGUGGCGAACGGGUGAGUAACACGUGAGCAAUCUGCCCCUGACUCUGGGAUAAGCGCUGGAAACGGCGUCUAAUACUGGAUACGAGCUGCGAAGGCAUCUUCAGCAGCUGGAAAGAACUUCGGUCAGGGAUGAGCUCGCGGCCUAUCAGCUUGUUGGUGAGGUAACGGCUCACCAAGGCGUCGACGGGUAGCCGGCCUGAGAGGGUGACCGGCCACACUGGGACUGAGACACGGCCCAGACUCCUACGGGAGGCAGCAGUGGGGAAUAUUGCACAAUGGGCGAAAGCCUGAUGCAGAAACGCCGCGUGAGGGACGACGGCCUUCGGGUUGUAAACCUCUUUUAGCAGGGAAGAAGAGAAAGUGACGGUACCUGCAGAAAAAGCGCCGGCUAACUACGUG
rnacentral:rRNA from 1 species